rnacentral:rRNA from 1 species
GAUGAACGCUGGCGGCGUGCCUAAUACAUGCAAGUCGAGCGAAUGGAUUAAGAGCUUGCUCUUAUGAAGUUAGCGGCGGACGGGUGAGUAACACGUGGGUAACCUGCCCAUAAGACUGGGAUAACUCCGGGAAACCGGGGCUAAUACCGGAUAACAUUUUGAACCGCAUGGUUCGAAAUUGAAAGGCGGCUUCGGCUGUCACUUAUGGAUGGACCCGCGUCGCAUUAGCUAGUUGGUGAGGUAACGGUUCACCAAGGCAACGAUGCGUAGCCGACCUGAGAGGGUGAUCGGCCACACUGGGACUGAGACACGGCCCAGACUCCUACGGGAGGCAGCAGUAGGGAAUCUUCCGCAAUGGACGAAAGUCUGACGGAGCAACGCCGCGUGAGUGAUGAAGGCUUUCGGGUCGUAAAACUCUGCUGUUAGGGAAGAACAAGUGCUAGUUGAAUAAGCUGGCACCUUGACGGUACCUAACCAGAAAGCCACGGCUAACUACGUGCCAGCCGCCGCCGUAA